UGUGUGAACGCGGCUGCAGCCACACAACAACUGGCAGAUUUUUUAACAUGAGGGGAAUUGUCCAUUUUGGCAUUGCUGGAAGUUUGGACCCUACAAUAAGCUAUGGAGACGUUGCUGUAAUAAAACGAGUUGCUAAUACGGCCGUUUACGAUAUGCUGAACCCAAAUGCACAAACAACCCAUUCCCAUGUAACUAAGGAUGAUUUGAUCAUCGGGGAAUACCAUCAACCCAAAGCAGAGAAGGAGAGUUCACUAGAUUGGGACGUGUCGCAUUCCGUGGUGAAAGAUUUUUCCCCCCGAAGGGGGAGCCUAACGUUGAUAUUUCAGAAACAUGGUUUAAUCCCACCAGAAGUGGGUUGACCUCGCUUUUCAAUUAGUGGAUAAGGUGGAAUUGAAUGAAACGGGACUCCCACAAAAGCCGAAGGUAGUAGUCGGAGUUAACGGCUCCACGGCCGAUAUAUCUCUGGAGAAUUUAGCUUACAGGACCUUCCUGUAUGACGAAUUUAAAGUUUCAGUCCACGACGCGGAGAGUUCAGCUGUUGUGAUGACAAGCUCGUCAAAUGGGUACAAAGUAAUUGCCAUCCGCGGGCUAUCAGAUUUAUCUGGAGCUGAUAAAGCAGGUACUCCGAGUUAUCGGGACAUUACAGCUAACAAUACUGUCGCAGUUCUUCGCGAUUUUAUCCAAAUUCUACAUGAGAAUAACGAAGCUUAAGUUGAAUGCUUUUAAGUAAUUGGAUUAGAGCCAAAAUAAGUUGAUAAUAGAGGACACGUUUUGUACUAUGGUUAUGCAAUAAUAUUUAUAGUAAAAAAGUGCUCCUUGUUCUA